UCUCCUUGAGGGACCUCGGUCUCUACCCAGGACUCUUCAUGACCAGGAGGCCGAGGCCCCUCUCAGGCGGC
rnacentral:pre_miRNA from 1 species